AUGUGGGAUCAGGUCGGCCUGGACCUGGACGGCUUUCCGCUCGAUCACGAGUUUUCGGAGGACUACGACCUCGAGGAAGAGGAUGAGUUGGACAUCGACGGGGAGCCUUUGUUCAAGGUCGAGCUCGCCAACCAAGCCAUUGGGGCAAAGCCGAAACGCAAAAGCAAGCUGACGAAGGCAUACAUGGCUUCUGAGGACAAGUUCCUCUGUGAGUGUUGGAGGGACAUUGGGCAAGACCCCAAGGUUGGCGCCGAACAAAAAGCAUCAACCUUUUGGACUCGUGUCCAUCGUGAGUUCCACGAACGCAAGAAGUUUCCGCCGUACCACAUGCAAAGCACGCGCGGGUGGGUGUCCAUCUCGAAGCGAUGGAAGGUGAUCCAACAAGAGUGCAACGAGUUUUGUGCCACUUUUGAGAGCAUCAAGGCACACCCCAUGAGCGGCAUUAGCAUGCAAGACAUGCUAUGCAUGCAUGUGCCCCUUUUGUGUCAUUCCAUUUAUGCUUGCAUGUCCAUUUCCAUAUCCAUUUGCCAAUAUGCUUGCAUGCAUUUUAGUUGUAGGCAUUCCAAGCUUUGGAGGCAAUCAAGGUCCAACACGAUGACAAGUCCUUCAACCUCUCCCAUUGUUGGAGGGUCAUCAAAGACGAGGAGAAGUUCAAGGCGCAAUAUAAUGCCCUCAUGUCGUGUGGGGGGAAUAAAGUUGUGGAGGAGGUUAGGGAGGGCGAGAAACCACAGCCGCGGGGGAAGACCAACUCCAAGAAGGAGGACAAGCGGGAUGCGGCGUCGAACACCUUGA
rnacentral:rRNA from 1 species